rnacentral:rRNA from 1 species
GAUGAACGCUAGCGGCAGGCUUAAUACAUGCAAGUCGAGGGGCAACAGGGGGUAGCAAUACCUGCUGGCGACCGGCAAACGGGUGUGGAACACGUACAGAACCUUCCUUUAAGCGGGGGAUAGCCCGGAGAAAUCCGGAUUAAUACCCCAUAGUAUUGUUGGUUGGCAUCAAUUGGCAAAUUAAAGAUUUAUCACUUAGAGAUGGCUGUGCGGCUGAUUAGGUAGUUGGUUGGGGUAAAGGCCCACCAAGCCAUCGAUCAGUAACUGGUGUGAGAGCACGACCAGUCACACGGGCACUGAGACACGGGCCCGACUCCUACGGGAGGCAGCAGUAAGGAAUAUUGGUCAAUGGAGGCAACUCUGAACCAGCCAUGCCGCGUGAAGGAUGAAGGUCCUCUGGAUUGUAAAC